ACAGCAGUCGCCGCGGUAAUACAGAGGGUGCGAGCGUUAAUCGGAUUUACUGGGCGUAAAGCGUGCGUAGGCGGCUUCUUAAGUCGGAUGUGAAAUUCCUGAGCUUAACUUAGGAAUUGCAUUCGAUACUGGGAAGCUAGAGUAUGGGAGAGGAUGGUAGAAUUCCAGGUGUAGCGGUGAAAUGCGUAGAGAUCUGGAGGAAUACCGAUGGCGAAGGCAGCCAUCUGGCCUAAUACUGACGCUGAGGUACGAAAGCAUGGGGAGCAAACAGGAUUAGAUACCCCAGUAGUCCCUGUCUCUUAUAC
rnacentral:rRNA from 1 species